rnacentral:tRNA from 1 species
CGGAGAGGUGCCGGAGUGGUCGAACGGGGCGGUCUCGAAAACCGUUGAGCGCGCAAGCGUUCCGAGGGUUCGAAUCCCUCUCUCUCCGCCAU